GGUGUCCUUGCCAGCCUCCAUCAAUCGCCCGGCGAUGGGCGGAACAGAGGAAGAGAGGGGCGAUAGAUGAAAUGAAAACUUUUCGAGUGUCGGCAGAACUGGGCCACAGCAUCCGAGC
rnacentral:lncRNA from 1 species